GGUGCUAAUACCGUAUAACAAUCAAAACCGCAUGGUUUUGAUUUGAAAGGCGCUUUCGGGUGUCGCUGAUGGAUGGACCCGCGGUGCAUUAGCUAGUUGGUGAGGUAACGGCUCACCAAGGCCACGAUGCAUAGCCGACCUGAGAGGGUGAUCGGCCACAUUGGGACUGAGACACGGCCCAAACUCCUACGGGAGGCAGCAGUAGGGAAUCUUCGGCAAUGGACGAAAGUCUGACCGAGCAACGCCGCGUGAGUGAAGAAGGUUUUCGGAUCGUAAAACUCUGUUGUUAGAGAAGAACAAGGAUGAGAGUAACUGUUCAUCCCUUGACGGUAUCUAACCAGAAAGCCACGGCUAACUACGUGCCAGCAGCCGCGGUAAUACGUAGGUGGCAAGCGUUGUCCGGAUUUAUUGGGCGUAAAGCGAGCGCAGGCGGUUUCUUAAGUCUGAUGUGAAAGCCCCCGGCUCAACCGGGGAGGGUCAUUGGAAACUGGGAGACUUGAGUGCAGAAGAGGAGAGUGGAAUUCCAUGUGUAGCGGUGAAAUGCGUAGAUAUAUGGAGGAACACCAGUGGCGAAGGCGGCUCUCUGGUCUGUAACUGACGCUGAGGCUCGAAAGCGUGGGGAGCAAACAGGAUUAGAUACCCUGGUAGUCCACGCCGUAAACGAUGAGUGCUAAGUGUUGGAGGGUUUCCGCCCUUCAGUGCUGCAGCUAACGCAUUAAGCACUCCGCCUGGGGAGUACGACCGCAAGGUUGAAACUCAAAGGAAUUGACGGGGGCCCGCACAAGCGGUGGAGCAUGUGGUUUAAUUCGAAGCAACGCGAAGAACCUUACCAGGUCUUGACAUCCUUUGACCACUCUAGAGAUAGAGCUUCCCCUUCGGGGGCAAAGUGACAGGUGGUGCAUGGUUGUCGUCAGCUCGUGUCGUGAGAUGUUGGGUUAAGUCCCGCAACGAGCGCAACCCUUAUUGUUAGUUGCCAUCAUUCAGUUGGGCACUCUAGCAAGACUGCCGGUGACAAACCGGAGGAAGGUGGGGAUGACGUCAAAUCAUCAUGCCCCUUAUGACCUGGGCUACACACGUGCUACAAUGGGAAGUACAACGAGUUGCGAAGUCGCGAGGCUAAGCUAAUCUCUUAAAGCUUCUCUCAGUUCGGAUUGCAGGCUGCAACUCGCCUGCAUGAAGCCGGAAUCGCUAGUAAUCGCGGAUCAGCACGCCGCGGUGAAUACGUUCCCGGGCCUUGUACACACCGCCCGUCACACCACGAGAGUUUGUAACACCCG
rnacentral:rRNA from 1 species